UACGAAGGGGGGCUAGCGUUGCUCGGAAUCACUGGGCGUAAAGGGUGCGUAGGCGGGUUUCUAAGUCAGAGGUGAAAUCCUGGAGCUCAACUCCAGAACUGCCUUUGAUACUGGAAGUCUUGAGUAUGGGAGAGGUGAGUGGAACUGCGAGUGUAGAGGUGAAAUUCGUAGAUAUUCGCAAGAACACCAGUGGCGAAGGCGGCUCACUGGCCCGGUACUGACGCUGAGGUGCGAAAGCGUGGGGAGCAAACAGG
rnacentral:rRNA from 1 species